rnacentral:rRNA from 1 species
UACUCCUACGGGAGGCAGCAGUGGGGAAUAUUGGACAAUGGGCGCAAGCCUGAUCCAGCCAUACCGCGUGGGUGAAGGAGGCCUUCGGGUUGUAAAGCCCUUUUGUUGGGAAAGAAAUCCAGCUGGUUAAUACCCGGUUGGGAUGACGGUACCCAAAGAAUAAGCACCGGCUAACUUCGUGCCAGCAGCCGCGGUAAUACGAAGGGUGCAAGCGUUACUCGGAAUUACUGGGCGUAAAGCGUGCGUAGGUGGUCGUUUAAGUCCGUUGUGAAAGCCCUGGGCUCAACCUGGGAACUGCAGUGGAUACUGGACGACUAGAGUGUGGUAGAGGGUAGCGGAAUUCCUGGCGUAGCAGUGAAAUGCGUAGAGAUCAGGAGGAACAUCCAUGGCGAAGGCAGCUACCUGGACCAACACUGACACUGAGGCACGAAAGCGUGGGGAGCAAACAGGAUUAGAUACCCUGGUAGUCCACGCCCUAAACGAUGCGAACUGGAUGUUGGGUGCAAUUUGGCACGCAGUAUCGAAGCUAACGCGUUAAGUUCGCCGCCUGGGGAGUACGGUCGCAAGACUGAAACUCAAAUGAAUUGACGGA